UUGGGCACUCGUAGUGAGACUGCCGGUGACAAACCGGAGGAAGUGGGGAUGACGUCAAGUCCUCAUGGCCCUUAUGGUAGGGCUUCACACGUCAUACAAUGGUCGGUACAGAGGGUUGCCAAGCCGCGAGGUGGAGCCAAUCCCUUAAAGCCGAUCGUAGUCCGGAUCGUAGUCUGCAACUCGACUACGUGAAGUCGGAAUCGCUAGUAAUCGCAGAUCAGCAUGCUGCGGUGAAUACGCUCCCGGGGCUU
rnacentral:rRNA from 1 species